UACAGAGGGUGCGAGCGUUAAUCGGAAUUACUGGGCGUAAAGCGUGCGUAGACGGCUAUCUAAGUCGGGUGUGAAAGCCCCGGGCUCAACCUGGGAAUUGCAUUCGAGACUGAAUAGCUAGGGUACGGUAGAGGGAAGCGGAAUUUCCGGUGUAGCGGUGAAAUGCGUAGAUAUCGGAAGGAACAUCAGUGGCGAAAGCGGCUUCCUGGACCAGCACCGACGUCAGGCACGAAAGCGUGGGGAGCAAACAGGA
rnacentral:rRNA from 1 species